AUGAAAUUCUACACUAUAGGCGAUAAUGUUAUCACUGAAGACGAAAUCAAGGCUCUCAUUAAAGGGAGUGAGGGAGUUUACAAGCCUGUUGAAGCUUACCUCUUGGCUAAUCCCGAAGCCUGCAACUAGGAUAUAAGUUGCUUAAUUUUAAUUCUUAUGCUUGCUUUUAAAGAGGGGUUGGAUUUUAAUGUUGUGCUUUUGAUAUUUUCUUUUUCAUCUUAAAACCUAUAUUGUCUUCUGGUUGCUCAGUAAGAAUGAUGGUGGUGGUGAUCGAACUUUGAUCAUCUUUGAUAUAUAAUGAAAUAAAUAAAUAUAUAAACUGGCAAAAAAAAAAUCUAUACCCAAUAUAUAUUUUACAGUUUUCAUGGAAGACUACAAAUUUUCUUUUGUAUAUCUUUUGGGUUAGCAAAACUUUGAGCUAAACAUUUUUUAAUUGAAUUUAUAUUCAAAAUCUAAAAUAAAAAUAAAAAUCAUCCCACGCUUUCUAAUAAUAGUCUAAUCAUAUAAUUCUAUUUUUUAAUAAAAUAAAUAACAUUAAGCGAAAAUAAUAAAAUCAUCGAUCCUAUUAAAGAUAGCACUUUUAAGUUAUACUAUAUUAUCUAUAAGGAUAUUUACAUUAAAUAAUCAAUGUCACACAAUUGCAACAAUCAAAUUUAAAUAAAAAAUUACAAAAAUCAAAUGAAUUUUUUUUAGGUUUUCCUUCUAAUUAAGUGCUCAUUACAUUUCUUUCCCACGAAAUAUAGUUAUUAUUACGGGAUUUUUAUCAAAAUAUUACAAACAAAAAAAAUACCAAAAUAUUAUAUAAUUUUUAUUCUUUACCAAAAUAAUACAAAAAACAGAAAAAAAAGCUGCGAUUGACGUGACAACACAGGGGAGAAGGGGGUGCCAUAGGCGACACCAGUUGUGCCCCUGUCAGAGGCAGCACCGAUGGUGCCCCUCCCACAGGCGGCAGUGCCUAUUUAUGGGGUCAUUCAGCUGGUGGGUGGGGGGAAGAGAAGGAGAAGGAAAGAAGAAGAAAGAAAGAAAGAAAAGGAAAGGAGAGGAAAGAAAGAAAAAGAAGGAAAGAAAAGGAAAUGGGAAGAAAAAAGAAAGAAAAAGAAGGAAAGAAAAGGAAAGGAGAAGAAAAAAAAAGAAAGAAGAAGACGGAAGGAAGGAAAAAGAAAAAGAAAAAGAAAAAGAAGGUAAUUUUUGUUUUAUUAAUUUAAUUUUUUUGGUAAUAUUUGUGUAAAAAAUUUAUGUUAUGUAUAUGUGUUUUAUUCUUUUAUUUAGCAUAUAUUUAUUAUGAAAUUUAUUUAGCAUGAAAAAAUCCAUGUUAUGUACAUUGUAUGUUGAUUAGGAAUUUUUUUUUAUGAAAUUUAUUUAGGAUGUUGUAAUUAGUUUUUUUAGAAAAAUAGCAUUAAAAAUAAAAUGAUAAAAAAAUAUGUUUAAGAAAACAUAAAAUACGAAAAGAAAAAAAACGGAAAUUGUAUAUUCACCAAUAGUAAAAAAAUUCGAAAAAUGGUAUAUUUAAAAAACACACUAAAUUAAUAAAUUUCAACCAUAAUGUACUAAAAUAAUGUAAAAUAAUAAAAUUAUAAAUUAUGAUAUUUUUUAAAGUAAUAAAAAGCGGAGAAAAAAAUACGAACAAAUGGCCGAAGUAAGAGUGUUUUACUAAAUUUUUUAAAAAUUCAGAAAUAAUUAAUACAAAUAUUUCAAACAAAAUAUACUGAAAUAAUAUAAAAUAAUAAAAUACGAAAAUAAUAUAUUUUUCUUAAAAGUAAUAAAAUUCGGGAAAAUAAUACGAGCAAAGGGCAGGAAUAAAGGGUUUUUUUACACUAAAUUAAUUUAAAAACACACUAAAUUAAUAAAAUUCAAACAUAAUGCACUGAAAUAAUAUAAAAUUAUAAAAUUAGAAAUUAUGAUAUUUUUUAAAGUAAUAAAAAGCGGAGAAAAAAAUACGAACAAAGGCCGAAGUAAUAGUCUUUUACUAAAUUUUUUAAAAAUUUUGAAAUAAUUAAUACAAAUAUUUCAAACAAAAUGUACUAAAAUAAUAUAAAAUAAUAAAAUACGAAAAUAAUAUAUUUUUAUUGAAAGUAAUAAAAUUCAGGAAAAUAAUACGAGCAAAGGGCAGGAAUAAGGGUUUUUUUACACUAAAUUAACUUUAAAAACACACUAAAUUAAUAAAAUUCAAACAUAAUGCACUGAAAUAAUGUAAAAUUAGAAAAUUAGAAAAUAUGAUAUUUUUUAAAGUAAUAAAAUGAGGAGAAAAAAAUACGAAAAAAGGGUCGAAGUAAGAGUCUUUUACUAAAUUUUUUAAAAAUUCGGGAAAAUAGUACAAAUAAAUGGCUGAAAUGAGAGUUUUUUACUAACGUUUUUUUGAAUUUGCAGGCAUCGCAAUGGCUCCAUUGAUUCAACUCGGUAGAUGCAUAUCUGAUGCGGCUAAUAACGCGGUAUGAUUUAUUAUUUGUUAAUCACGGGUUCUAUUUAAAAAGGAUUUACAUAAUAUAUAGAAAUAAAUCAUGUUAUCCUAAUAUUUUUUCUGUAAUUUAACACUAUUAGGAAUCGUACCGAGUAAUAAGGGGCCGUGUGAAUGGUUUAAAGAAAGCUCCGGAUGCAAUAUUGAUGCCGUACUUGGAGCAAGCCGGAUUUGGGAAAGCAGCAUUGAUCCGGACCUUCGACUUACGCUACGAUUUAUUAUCUGCGCUAGUGGAGCAGUGGUGCCCGGAGACCCACACUUUUCAUUUUUCGUGUGUGGAGUGCACGGUGACCUUGGAGGAUGUUGCAAUGCAGCUUGGGCUCCCAAUUGAAGGGAGUCCCGUAACGGGAGUAUCUUCAUUUACUGAUCCGGCUGCACUUUGUUAUUAGCUCCUAGAAGAGUCGCCAGAGGACGAUAAGUCAAAUUUCUCGAGCUUAAAAUUUACAUAGCUGAAAGCCAAAUUUGGACAGUUAUCAGCUACUGCCACUGAAGGUGAGUUGACGUGCGCUGCUCGAGCAUACAUCAUGCAUAUCAUAGGGGGAGUACUCAUGCCCGAUGCACACAACAACAAGGUGCAUAUGAUGUACUUGUCCCUAUUAGCUGAUUUAUCCAGUGUUCACUCAUAUAGCUGGGGCUCCGCCGUUCUAGUAGUGUUAUAUCGGGAGCUUUGUCGGACGACAAACCCGGAUGUUGUAGACAUGGGUGGAUGCCUCACAUUGCUGUAGUCCUAGGCACUCUAUCGGAUGCCAUUUUUGGCAUCGGUUAGUCACCAACCGUAUGUUUAUCCACUAGUGAACAGGUGAUAAAAUAUAACUUGUCAUUAUUUGUAGUUUAUAUGGUAUAUUGACUAAUGUUACCAACCCUAAACCCUAUAUUUUUUUUGUAGGUAGAGUCUUUAUCCGGGUAUCGGGAGGUCACACAUUGUCCCGAUAUAUCGACUCAUGAUCGAACAGCAUGCCGGGGAAGGGGUAAGCUGCUAUUCUAAUAUUCAUGACAUCUUACUUUCUAUAUCUUACUCACACAUUAUGGCUAAUUAUAACCAUGUUAUUAAUCAUGCAGUUUAUAUGGAUGUCAUAUCGUAGGCCAGAAAUUACAGAUGUGGUACCCUCGUCUGCAUACGUUCAUUCUGACAUAUGGUGCACUAAUGCACCAAUUAUAAGUUUCAAUAUAGUUGAGUGGUAUCAUGGGGAUCAGGUGUUACGACAGUUUGGCUGCAUCCAACAUAUCCCGAAUCUGCCAUGCGAGGUAGGGGCGGUUCACGGCAUGAAUAAGAGAGGGAAACCGCAGUUGGAUUGGGGCAUUAAGCAUCGAUAAUUUGUUGCGCAGUGGAACAAUCGGAUGCGUCGAAGACCUCAGAUGGUUAUGGCUUCCGAUUUGCAACCAUCAUUAGAGGACAUAUAAUGGUACUUUAGUUGCGGUAAGUCAUAUAUACUUAGAAGCUAGUCGACUGUAGUCCCCUCGCACAUGCAGCGACCUGGGGGAUCAUACUCAGCGGCCCCGAUGGAGGCGGAGCCUGUGGCAUAUUAUGAUCCUGAACCAGAGCCCGAGCAAGAGCCCCAGCCAAAUCCCGAACAAUCACAUCCACAUGUGGAUUCACAUAGCUAUCAUCCGGAUUUGGCAGGCAGGGACUAUAUUCCGAGCUUCUCAGGGGGCGAAUUUGCAUACGACUUUGAACUCUUUGGAUCCUACCCACCGCAGUAUGGCAUGCCCGGCCCAUCCGACCCGUAUCCGCAGCAUCAUGGGACUCCUUCCGGUUCAAGUUCGUCGAUGACGAACGAGCCACAAGAUUUUUCCUCUAUGUUUGCCACACCCUCACCUGUGCCGAAUGAUGAUGUUGGUCGUCGCGAACACCCAGAACGUGACCGUCGACCUUCGAAUAGGUAUACCCCUAAGACCACACCAUCGAACCAUCAAUUUUAGGGGUUUAUUACAGUUUUUGUACAUUACAAAGUUUGUACGUUUUGUAUAAAUUUAAUUAUUCUAAUUUUAGGUAUGCUUACUGCUGAACUAUUUUGUAUAAAUUUAAUUAUUCUAAUUUUUCAUUAUAUUAAAGCUGAAUUUAAGGUUAAAUGGCUCCAUUUUCGAUAUAAUUUUAAUAAUUCCAAAUGCCAUAUACUAUUUUAUAACUUAAUUUAAUGACAAUUUAAGCAUAAGCAUAAGCUGAAUAAUUUUAAUUAUUUCAAAUGAAUUAUACUUUUUAUAACAUUACACAUAACAAUUUGACAGCAUUAGGUCAAUUUCGACCCGAUCCGGACGACUGUCCAACAUGAAAGUUUCACCUAGGGCAUUUAUUCCGACUAUGACCACUUAACCUGCAUAUUCCACAACGCUUACUGUCUGAUUUCUCCCUAAUGUCCAUUUCAUUACAGAUUCUGCUUGAUUGCGGACGACCUCUUGGAUUCCUACGUAACCCUCUGUCUGGGAAAAGCUCGAAAGUCGUCGGAGGCACCUCCUAUGUAGAUAAGUUAGGCAGGACAGGGAACUAAUUUUCCUAGACACGCAAUGUUCGCUCAAGCGUGUACACAUCAUCGACAUACUGUUCAACAUUAAGGUUGACUUUAGCACACGCUGCCACGACAUGCGCACAUCGAUAAUAAGGUGUUUCGAACCUCCUACACUCACACCGUCUGUUCCAGAUAUCAACUCCAUAGGACCUAGUUGGUAUACCAGGUCGACGACUGAUGGUCUCAAUAACUCAAAAUGUUUCCAGUCGUCGUGAAUAUAUUUCUACAUUCAUUGACCUCGCCAUCCAAAAGUUUGCAACCAUUGCAUCCCUGGCAUGUUAGACAAACAUGUGUCCCGCCUCCAUCUGGUCGACUUGUUGCUGACCCAUUCUUGGCAUCAAGGUAGCCAGCCUGUAGAAUGUUGUAGAAAAGAUAGAUGCAAUCGGAAGAUGACAUGUUUUCAACAAGACAGCGUUGAUCCCCUCGACUAAGUUUGUGGUCAUUUAGCCAUAACAAAAGCCCUCGUCAAAACUUUGAGCCCAUUGCCAUGGCUCCAUUGUACCCAACCAUUGUCGGAAAGAUGUGUUUGUCUUCCCCUCCAUGUCACUCUCAAGUCGGAUCAUUCUUUGGUGGAAAAUAUGUGGCUCUAACUCGUACGCUGCAUACGUGUUAAGAAAAAAUAAGUUCUAGUAACUCGAUAACAUAAAACAUUACAACUUAUAUUGAAAAUAUAAGGUUAUCAUUUACCCAUUGCCACGACUUGUCUCUUCUAGUCUGCAUUCUUAUAAUCUUUGUGGAAGUUAGCCGCAAUGUGACGGAUACAGUACACGGACCUCCAUGGCACACUGGAACGCCUAAUUGUUGCAAUUAAAUCUUUCCCUCUAUCGGAGAUGAUGCAAUUGUUAUCGUUGCUAAUAACAUACCUCCGCAGGUUAGUGAGGAAGAAUUCCCAAGACUCCAAGUUCUCUUUAUCUACGAUGGCAAAUGCUAUCGGGAGCACGUUUCUAUUGCCGUCUUGAGAAACUGAAAGAAGUAGGAUCUGUGUAUAUUUUCCAUAUAGCCAGGUCUCAUCCACCUACACAAAUGACUUGCAGUGGGGAAAUGCCCGCACACAUGGAUCAAACAUCCAGACCAUCCGAUGGAAAAUCCUUUUUACUGGCUGUAAUUGGUCGUCCGAGCCGUAAUAAGGCCUUGUCUGCAACUCAAUAAUAGUCCCCGAUACGUACUCCCGCAUAGCAGCUAUCCAUCCUUGUAGCUUGUUAUACGACGAAUUGUAAUCCCCAUACAGUUGCUCCAUUUCUGUCUGUUUAGCUAUCCAUGCCUUUUGAUAUGAUACUCGAUAUUGGAAUUGUGCUUGCAUCUCGGCAAUCAGUACCGAAACUUUAAUGGUUGGCAUGUCCUUCAUCAUUGGCAUGAUACACGUACAGAUAGUUUUCGAAUCAAGUUUUCCAUGAUCUUCUGUCAUACGUGUUGAUGUACAUGUAUGAGGACUAACAAAUUUUCAUAUCUCCCACAUCUAAGAACUUUUAAUGAAUGCAGCUCGUAUCUGCCAAUUGUAGCCUUCCGCUGCCUUCCAACACUCCCCAAUAUAUAUUGUCAGAGUAGACACUGCGACUUUAUAAUCCAUUGAUAUGUUCAUGGUAUACCGUUUAAUAGCAAAUACGCACUCUUCUUUACAGCUGAAUCUCUGGCCUAUGAAUAACUCCUCAUGAUUAGAAUUUACGGCCAGCCUGUGAGGAUGAACUAUUUCAGAGUACUCUAGGAACUCAACUACAUACGUUACGUCGGGGUCUAUGAGCGACAUGUGUGGCCCAGGAUUAUUGUGUAUCAAAAUACGUCGCAUCUAGUCCCCGACCGACGAAGCGUUAAUGUUUUCAUCGUUGUUGACAUCUUCAGCGUCAAUAUCAUUAGGUACAUCGUCCACAUCGGGAUCACCGUCACUAUCGACCUCUUCAUCCCAACGAUCACUACCACCUUCUUCUUUACCACAAACCACAUCAAUAUCGGGUGUAAUAUUCAGAUCGAUAUUGAUCCCACCCAUAGUCGAUUCACUAUCAACGUAUGAUAUUGGAGCCACCAUCCACGGUUCUUGAGCUCCGUGUUCUUCAUCAGAUGCAUUGACAUCUUCAUUUUGCUCCAUACCGGCUAACUCAGUAAAUAAGUGAAUCGGUGUAUUCUUGUCACUCCCAUUCCCAUAGUAAAGAGCGACCAUUGUCUCUACGUCUUCAUCGUCUACAAGUUCCAUUUUAGUGAAUUUGACAGGAUUUGUCGAAACUGGAAACUUGUAGAAAAUUUUUGAUAUCCUUCUCCCACAACGUCUAAGAAUUUUUGCAUUAAUCCUUGCCUUCAUUUCAUCCAACGAGACAUUUCUAUUAAAUCUCAUUGCUAUUUGUUGCCGAUAUUCAAAUACACAUCCAACACUUGUUGUCAAGAUGACUCCAUCAAAAUAAACGCAUACAAAAAACUUAUUAUCCAUCUUCAAUAUUCUAUCUGUCAAAAAAUAAACAAAAUCUCAAAAAAAAUCUCUAACGGUAAAUAAAUUACUUAAAUAAAAAAAUUUAAUGUUUCAAUAUGCAAUAUUUCAUCCUUAAGCUCAUACUUUUUCAGUUAUCAUUUUGUACAUGAACAACGUUUAACCACUAACCCUAAUAACUAACACAAUAACAAUAAUAAUAGUUUUAUACUCAAAAUAAUACUAACUAACAAUAAUAAUUAGGGUUUUACUAAAAAUAAUAACUAACCAUAAUAAUAAUACUAGUUUUUUACUAACAAUAAUACUAAGUAAGAUCUAAACCCUAAAAACUAAUAAUAAUAAUACUAACUAAAACUAUCAAAUUGAGUUUUUAUUAAACUUAAUAACUAAACUAACAACAAAAAUAAUAAAAAUUAUACAAAAAACAUAACAAUAAGAUAAUCAAUUAUUUUUAAAAAAAUACCUUUUUUUUCUCUUAUAUUUCUCUCUUUUUCUCUCUUUUUCCUGCAGCACCUCCUCUUUCUCUUCUUUUUCUUCUUUUUCUCCUUCAAUUGGACGGAUCUAGUGUUUAUAACACCAAUGGUGUUGCCUAUGGGAAAGGCACCUUUGGUGCCGCCUGUCCCAUCCGGUUUUCUGUUUUUUUAUUAUUUUGGUAAAUAAUAAAAAAUGUAUAAUAUUUUGGUUUUUUUUUUAUUUUUUUAUAAUAUUUAGGUAAAAAUCCCUAUUAUUACAAAUAAUUGUUUCUUUUUUUUAUUGCAACAUGACAAAUAACAAGUUAUCAUCAAGUUGAAUAUGGAUUUUUAAGGUUUCAAGAGUUGAAAAUUUAUGUAUAUAUAUUUAUGAAAUAAGGCUUGAUGUAUCAUUUGUCCUUUUAAGUGUCUUGUAAAUGGAAAAAAUUUAGAGCAAAUAGAAUUCAUCAUCCAUUAUUAUUGUUUAUCUUUAAUUAAUUAAAUAUAAUUAAUAAUGAGAUAAAUUAAGAAAUUAAAUAUUUUUAGAACUCUUUUAUAAACAAAUUGUUGAGUCCAAAUUUAUAUUUGAAGUCAGAAUCAAGUAGUGCUUAGAUUAGUUCUAACAGUUUCAGGCACUAGUAAUGAAAACUGUAGAAAAAUAAUAAUAAUAAACACAAUAGAUGUUUACAUAAUUCAAUUUCCCUACAUCUAUGAGGCUUUUCCCAUAGAGAAUAUUCACUAUCGUAGCUCAUUGUACAAUAAGUGUUUCCAAGCACAAAAUCUCACCAAUUUAGUCUUCUCACUUUUGUAUCUAAGAUCUAAACAUCUCCCUCUAAGUUUUCAAGGAAAAAUUAGGAAACUAACCAAAUCACACACUUGAUUAUUACAGUUUAAUGCACUCACAAAAACGUUCCUUACUUGAACAAAAUAAAGUGCUCCCACUAAGUAUGUAACAUCCCAAAAAUUGAGGGUUAGUAGAAUCAGGUUUGGGAAUCGAAAGAGAGUGGUCAUGCCCUAAUUUUUGAGAUUAUCUAUGCAUUUUUAGGAAAUAAAUGAGGUAUUGAUUUGUUGGUUAAGUGUUAGUGAAACGUUUCUUGAAACCCAAGUUCAAAUCCCUUCUCUCUCACCAUUUUUAUUAUUUUGUAAAUUUUGCCUUAAACCCUAGUAUGUGACAUACCUUGUUUUUAAAAUAACUAUUGCAAAAUUAUUUCAAGAAUUUGAAAAAAUCUUAAUGGUUAAAAGAAAUAUGAAAAAGUAUGGAAAUUAAAUAAGGUCCCAAGUUCGAAUCUUUUUCCUUACAAAAUAAUUAAAUUUUGCAAAAUCCCUUCUUUUUUUAAUGUGUGUGCCAUCCAUACCCUUGAACCCUAAGUAUAAAUACAACUUUUAUUGUAUUUUUCAACCUUUAAUUCAAAUUUCCCUACCCUAGCCAUUCAACCUCUUCCUCUCCCCUUUUCUUCUCAAUUUUCUUUCUUUCAAGAUUGUGCACCAUCUCCUUUACUCUAAUGCUUCUAUUUAUCCUCAUCUAAAUCAGCCCCAAAUCUGAAAUCUUGAACCCCAAGAUUAAUCCUGAAUAUUGCAAAAAAAAAGUGUCAUUGUUAUUUCUCUCAACUAGCUUGGGUAAGAUCUCUUUUCUCUUUAAUUUCUUGAUUAAUAUUGUCAAUUAAAAACCAAAAUUUAUAAAUCUUGAAUUUGGGGGAUUUUAAAUGAUUUCAAAGGUAUUUUUCCAUAUUUUAAUGAGAUCUCAAACCGUUUUAAAAUUCAGCCCCAAUUUUGGCCACCAUGGGUGGUGGUGUGUGUGCCUAUCUCCAAGAAAGGGGGCUAUUUUUUUCUUGUGUCUUGCCAAUAUUUUUUCCAGCAUUAAAUUUUUUUCUUAAGCCCUUCUAAUCAUCCUUUAAUCACAUGUUAAUUAGGAAGAGACAUUCUUGAUCAAUUAGACAAUCGGGUUCGACAAAUUGUGAAGCAUAAGUGUAAUUAAGGAUAACUAGUUUGUUAUUUCGAUAUAGUUGUAGGGUAAAAGUUAUGAAUUGAUUAAAUGAAGGAAUUUAAUCCUUAAUUAGCAACUUAUUUUCCAGUAUAUUAUUGAAUUAGGUGCUGACCUAAAUGCCCCAAAUCAUCUGUAAAGGUACAGAAUGAUUGUAUGUACGGUUCGCAUCGAUACAGUAUAAGAAAUCUAACUAGUUUUGAUUCAUAAAAUAGUUAUAAUUUCAAGGAUUGGUUUGAACUUAUAAGUGGGUGUUUGGGGGCUAGUUUAAUGGUAAAUUUUUUGAAUUUAUACUAAAUUUUGGUUUAGGUUCGUUUAAGAAAUUAUUAAGGAAAAUUGGAAGAUUCGCUAGUGUGCUGCGAGGAAGCGAAAAAUAAGGUGUGGGUCGUAAAUUGAUCAAAAUUGUUUGAAAUUUUUAAAUAUCAUGUUAUAUUUGAUAAAUUAGUUUGCUGAUUGGAUUGGCUUAAUAGCCAAAUUAUUGAUUUUGUGAGUGAUUGAACUAGGUAUGUUCGAGCCUUAAAAGAUUGACAUGUUGGCAAAAUUGCUAUUUUGAUAGUACGAAUGUUUGAUUGAGUUUGUAAUUACAUAUUUGAGUUAUGAGAUAUGAGAAUGUUUGACUAAAUGAUAUAAUGUGUUGAGAUAUUAAGCUUAUGUAUGAUUUAAAUGCAUGAGAUUUUGUUAUAUUGUGUACUAAAAAGAGUGCUAUUUAUACACAACGAAAAUCCGUAAAGUAUGUGAAAUUGAACAAUAUUGAUUGAUACCAACACAAUGGUAAUUUGAAAGAUUGGAACACUGUUUCCAUUUACUGAAAGUAUGUGAUUAUUGAGGACAUGCAGAGCAUGUCAAAUGAAUGUGAAAAAUAUUGAGAUAUGAUUAUGUAUGAGAUUGUGUGACAUAUUGCAUAUGCAUUGAGUUGGGAUUUUGUGGUUGAUGCAAGAGUUCCGUAGAGUGUCGACAGCGUAUUAAGUCUGCAUUAUUCGUAGCUAGUGCACUGCACCUGAAGUACUGAGGGGAAUGGCGAUUUAUCACAUUUUUACUGGCAGCUUGUCUGUAUUUUUACUGGCAAAAUUUUUUGCAUAUUGUUAUUAGUGGUUUUAACCACAACGGGAUUAAGCCUAUAAUGUUUUGGAGUUCAGAUGACGGGUUCUGGGAACUCGUGGUGUGUAGCGAAUGGUAUGGGUAGGAACCGUUUUGCAUAUUGUAUUAUGCUACGACAUAUUCGAAUGUUAUUGAUUUAUGCUACGUAUUGUUACUCGAAUGACACACCAUUUGACAUCAAUUUGAUAAUGGCUAUGUAAUGAUAUGAAAUUCCUAUGAUGGUUCUGUUUUCUUCUGUUAAAGCUAAUCUGUUUCACUGUAUUCAAUAUUUACGUUUUUUUAAAUAAUUGUUCGAUUCACACUGAGCUUUUCAUAAGCUCACCUCACAAUAGUGUUUAACUUUUUAGGUAAACCUCAAAAUUAGGACCGGACUCGGCAUACGAAGAAUCACAUUGAACCUUGGACUAUUCUUAAUAAGUAUUAUUAAGUCUUUAUUGGUUUUGGCUUGUAAUUUUUAAUUAUUUUUGGUCUGUAGCAUGGUAACUUUUCUUUUGGGGAUUUUUUGCAUGCAUGGAUUACUCAAGCAUAAUAACCGGAUAAUGCAUGAUAUCAAGCUUAAGUAAAAUUUGAUAUUGUUCCCUAGUUUUCGCUGCAUUACAAUAGGAACCAUUUUUGAAAAGCAUAUCGAUAAGGCAACUAAGUUUCCAAACUGACUUGAAAAGUGAUUUUUUUUAUAAAAAAGAGGGACAAGCAAACAAUUUUUCUAAAACAACAAUAUCAACAAUAAAAUGAAUCCUAAGCAUACGAUUUUCUCUAAAUAAGUUUAUUUAAAGACUUCAAAAGUAACGUAAGUUAGCUUAGCCAUUUUGGUGGCUAAUAUAGCCUUCUCAAUUUAGUCAUAACGUCUAGGCCGGGUUUGGAAGGUUACAAAGUACAUAACCUAUACAAGUCUUCACUAGGGGUAAUCUAGUAAGUCGAGCUUGAAUACUAUCAAGCUCAUCUUGAAAUUUGGAGCUCUAUACUUUACUCGAGCUCGAUUUAGCUUGUUUGCCAAUUUUUAUACUCAAGCUCGAACUUGAGCUAGAGUUCGGCUCAAUAAUUAAGCUAGGUUUAAUAAUAUAUUAAGGGUAAUAAUGUGAUUUAAUAAUAUAAAUGUUGGAAAAAAUUUUGGUUUGAAAACGAUUUUCUUGCACAGUGGAAAAUUAAAAUUUUUAAGUCCACCCAGUUUGUGAUAUUUAUAGCAAUAAACCUUAAAUUGAAUUCACACCUAAGAUUUCGAGCAGAAGGAACCUUAUGAUUCCUGCCUUUCACCCAAACAACAUUCUCCACUAUUCCCGUACCACUAGUAUAUUGAUGAGUGAAAAUUAGUAACGCUAGUACACAUAUUGAUCAAUUAAUAAAGUGGUGAGCAUUUAUUAUUUCCACGAAAAUCAAAUUCUAAGUUGCUUAGUAACAACAAUUCAAUUUUUAUUCAAUCCAAAUUAAUAAAAUAAAAUUUAAUUACUAUUAAAAUUAAAAUAAGUUAAUUAAGAAGACUUUAUUAAACUAAAACAAAGAAAUUUUAUAUGUUAAAUCCAAUAUGGAAAAAUUAAAUGUUCAUUCUCAUCCUUUAUCAAUACAAGAUGUUAGGGUGUAAGGUAUUCUAUAUUCUAAAAAAAUUGUGCGUUUCAUACUUACCACGAUGGGAAUAGACAAACUAAGCAGUUAGGUUGCCCUAGAGAUUGAUCUUAAUUAUUAUCCUUAGUACAAUAAUUUGACGGUAAUUAUAUUCUAUUCUAUUUUAACAACACUAUUAUUAUUAUAAUCAACUACGUUCUUCGCAGGCUACUUGCUUUCUGGAUAGUCCAAGUCUUCCCACGAAUUUGUCAGUAAUUCUAUUCUAUUCUAUCUGUUUACUUUUCUCAUUACGAUAAUAAAAGUUGCAUUCUAAUGUAAUAUUUGCCUCAAAAUUACACUCAAUUAUUACUUUGAUAUUUAAAGAAAUUUUUUAGGUAUCUCAAAUUUCCAAACAUCAAGCAUAUUACUCCCUUACUGCCAUUACCAAAAAAAAAAAAAGAAAAAAAAAGAUGUGGGAUUCUGGGAGUGCAUCAUGUCACCCAAUUUUAUGUUUUUUUUUCUGAAAUAAAUGUAAACAAAUAAAGAAAUAAGAAAACAAAUCUAAAAAAAUUAAAAAUCAGGAAAAAUUAUAAAAUUUUCCAAUUUAAAAAAAAUUCCUUUUAAAAAACAUAAAAUACAAAACAAACAACAAAUAAUUAAAAAUAUAGAUAAAAAAACACAGAAUAAUAUUGAUGUAUGUAUAGUACUUUUUAUUAACCUAGAAUUUUUUAUUUUAAAAAAAAUUCUUUUUAAAUUUAUUUUGCCAAAAAAAUUUACUCUAGGCUUGUAACUUAAUUUUUUUUAAAAUAAUUAUGAUCUGAAUUCUAUAAACUAAAUUGUAACCUUUCCAACUUGAUCUAAACGUUGUGGCUGAAUUCGAAAUAUUAUAUUGGCCACCGAAAUGGCCUAAUAAAACUAUCGGAACUUACAAAAUAGUCAUUUUAAAAUUUUUAUUUAUUUUUGAAGAAAACUUAACAUGUUAUCUUUGUCGAAGCCUUUUUUUUAAGGGUCAACUUUGGUUUGAAAACAUAAAUCGAAACGGGAGUCACCACAAAUCAUUUUUUAUGAGGUGUGAUCGGAUCACCUCGUAAUUGGGUUGUUUUAAUAAAACAUUUUGAUUUAUCAAUAACAACAAUUUUAGUCUACGAAUUUUGAGAAAACGGGUUCGAAAGUCGGUUACAUGCGAGGAAGGAUUAGCACCAUCGCCACGCCCAAAAUUGGUACCUAAUUGACUAAUUAAUGUCUAAAUAUCGAAAGUUGAAAUUUUGAAAAGAUUUUAAAAUACGAUCUCUUUUUUAUUAAUGCCAUUUAUUUUAAAAGAAUUUGCUCAAAUAAAUCAAAGCAAAUGUCAAAGACCUUCUCGUCUCGAGAUAACAAGUGUCACAUCCCGUGAGUUAGGACACGACACUUGGAAACCUCGAGAAUAAAUUUGCCUUUAACUUUUAUUGAAAUUUCGUGUAUUUUGAAAUUUAAAAGGAUAUUUGGCUAUUUAGGUUUAGCGAGAAAAUUGAAACCUCGUAAGUUAGGGUACAAUUUCUCAAAUUUCCAAAACGCGAAAUAUUGCCUUAUUUUAAAACUUUUCCCUUUUUUUGAAUAAUAGCGAGCAAAAUAUUUGAAUAAGGUACAUUCGUUUUAUUUGGGAUAAAAUAGAAUGAUUUAUUGCGGGUAUUUACAAAUCGAGUGCAACUUUCGAAGUGAUGAAAUGAAAUGGAAUAACAACAUAGAACAUGAAAUAACGAUUUAUGAGUAAAAUGUUACGUUAAUGAAUGAUGAUAAUAUGAAAAAAAAUAAUCAAGUUAUAGCGUACAUAAUGAUAAUAACCACACCACAUGCAUCAUUUUAACAUACCAAUAUUAAUAAUCCAAGUAAACAAAACGAAAUAAUAGAAAACAAUUUUAUGUAACUAAUAGUCUAAAACGAGUAAUUUAUGAGAUCAAUUCGAAAUGAAUCAUAAAAUAUUUCAAACAAACAAUAUAUAAAACUUAAAAUGAAUAAUACUAAAAUAGUUUAAAAUAAAAAAAACACAUAAAACAAUAUUCUUUUUCUUUAUUAAAAAAUAAUAUAUAAAAAAUUUAAAAGAUAAUAUAUAUAUAUAUAUGGUAGUUUAAAACAAAAUAUGUAAUAAAAAAUUUUAGUAAAUAUUAGGUAAAACAUUUAAAAUAAAUAAUAUAUAUAAAACUUAAAAUAAACAAUAAUAAUAGAAAAGCUCUUUUUUAAAAAAUAAAUUAUUUUUUAAAAAAAUAAUAAAAAUAAUAAAUUAAUUAAAUGGAAUAAGGACGAAGUUGAAAUCUAACCUAAAAUCCAAGGUUUAAAUCGCAAAUAAAUAAAAAAGGGUGGCUCGGGAUUGAAAUAGAGCGCGCUUAAGGGAUGAGGGACCGACUGGGCAAUAUUCCCAGCCCUCAAGUGUAGCGUUUCAGGUCGGACCAAAAUGAAACAAUCAAAAAAUUAUGCGGCCAAAAUAUAAAAGCAAUGAGGAUCAGAUUGCGCUAUACUAUAAAAGUGGAGGGACUGAAUAUGCAAAUAGUCCCUCAAAGCCAAAACGCGCGGAUUCUGGCCGCAUUUGGGUCGAUUUUUGGAUCUUAUGCAAAACGGCGUCGUUUUGGCCACUGAUGCUAAGGUCCAAAACGGCGUCGUAUUAUACCUUAUAUAAAUAGAAAAAAAAAGAAAAAAAAAAGAAAGCUCUCAGUCUCUCUUGGUCUCUCUCUCGGCCUCUCUUUGGCCAGCCAUGGUCGCCGCUGCUACACCGCCUUUAGCCUACAUUUCGCAGCCCCUUGGAAGCCCAACCCUCUCGACCCAGAAAAGGAGGAGGACUCUCGACCCGCUCUCAGACUCGAUGGCAAUGACGGAGGAGAGCCCUCCGACGGCGCGGUCACGGGGCGUCUCUAGUGAGCCUUCUCUUCCCUUUUUUUAUUUUACUAUUUAGUAUGUAAAAAUGAAAAUAAAAUAAAAUAGAAAAUAGAACAAGAAAGUAAAAGAAUCACCUCAAAUCUGUUUUUUUUUUCAUUUUUUUAUAUUAAUGUUCGUAAAAAAUUACAAAGGGUGAGAUAUAGGCUUUUAUAGCUGAUCUAAACAACUCUUAAUGUCCAUUUUUUUGUUGUUUUGCAAUUUGUUUUUUUACUGCUUGUUGUCUUCUUCUUUUGCAUGUUGCAGGUGGUGUCAGAGAAACGUCAGACACGUGGAGAGACGAUGGCAUGCGGCGGUGGGCAUACGAGGAGGCCAUGUGCAGGCUUAAGGGCGGCAGCUGCAUUAGGGUUUCUUUUUGGCUAAAAUUUUUUAAGUUUUGUGGGCUAGGGUUGUUAGGAUUUUUGGUUAUUGGUUUGGGUAUUGGUUUGGGCCUUUAUUUAAUUUGAUUUGGUUUUGGUUUUAUUUUGGUUUGGGCCCAGGCCAAAAUUGGCCUAUUACAAUCUUCUUUUCACUAAACGAUAUAAUUUAUUUCCAAAACGAUAGAUAUUAAGGUUUUCUUAGCAAAGGUUGAUUUCCAAUUUUAUGUAUAAAUAUAUAUAUAUCUUUUUUUCAAAAACUAUUCACUUAGUAAUGCAGCAGAAAAGUGAUAUUUGACAUAAUUUUAAUGAAAAUCAGAUUUCAUGCAAAAGUAAAUCAAGUUCCAUAUUUUAGCAAUCCUAAAAUAAAUGUAAAUGUGAUACAUGCCAAAUAAACCCAAACCUAAGUCUCAUACCAUCGUUCAAAUAAAACAAUACAGUCUCUCAAUAACAAAAAUUUCGAAUAAUAAAUCUAGACUACUUUUAUUGAAAAAAAUAAUCUAAGAUCGAGCACUCCAAAUGCCAAGUCUGUUUCCUAACCUGAUGGUUUAUCUAUAAAGAUGAAAAUAAAGGGGAGUAAGUUUAAAAAGCUUAGUGUGAGUCCAAUUACAAGAAGGUCAAUGCAAACAGUAGAUGAAGCACACAAAAUAACAAAUCUCAGAACAAUCACACUCAUAUAACGAUUCAGAGUAUUCGGUCUUUAGAUCAACACAUCCAAUAUAAUAUAUCAGAAUUCAUAGUUAUGCAUGCAUGUGCUUAUGAAUGGAGAUGCAAUUUCAAUUUAUUAGAGAAAAUCCUACCCAUGUCCGCUACACACCACAAUAAGAGUUCCUUAGAACUCAUUCAUCCCUACACACCAUGUUGUGGAUGAACCAUUAGUAAUUACAGAUGAACUGAACUACCAGUAAUAAAAGUUGUGGAUGAACCAUAAAAAUUUAUAGAUAAAAAGUUUGCAGUUUAAUAACCUACACACCAUGUUGUGGAUGAAUCAUUAGUAAUUACAGAUGAACUACCAGUAAUAAAAAUUGUGGAUGAACCACAAAAAUUUUCAGAUAAAAAGUUUGCAGACAAGCUGCCAAUAUGUUGUGGAUGAACCACUAGUGUUUGUAGAUUAUUAGCCUACCAAUUCUUCCUCCACUCGUAUCGUCCCACCCUAUGCAAUGCAAUAUGACAUGCUUAUAACAGAUCAGUACGGUAGUAGUAGACAUGCUUAACGUAUUUUGUUCAACAGUAGCAGUAUGCAUGCUGAACAUACAAUCAGUGAUAUCAUGGCAGAAUUAACAAUAUAGUUUAUCAGAAAUACAGUGACAGUAGGCAUAUAUCAUUCACACAUCAUGCAUAUAAUAGUAGUAAUUUAGUCAUUCAGAUAAUAGUUUCCAUAAUAUACAUAUUAUCAAGGAUUUAAUUAAGUGAAAUAAAACUCUAAAAAUAGUUCAAGGACUAUACAGGGACUAAAUAGAAUAAUUCACAAAUUUCGUGACAAAAUUAUAAAGUAGGGGUCACAUGGCUGUGUGAUCAGGCGUGUGAGGAAGCAAAGAUUGUGUGGGAGGCGUACAUGGUCGUAUGGCCAGGCCGUGUAACAAACUGAGGUCGUGUGACAAACGCCAAAGUUACCCUAUAGGAGGGAAACGACUGUGUGAAAGGGUUGUGGUCGUAUGGUUCACAAACAAGCCUAAGAUUUACAAGGGCACAUGGUCAUGUGGUUCGCACACCUGUGUAAGAGAUCGUAUGGCCCUAAAUCUACACAAUAUCACCACCGAUUCACUUGGAAAAGAACACACCUUUCACCGCGGGUCUGGUUGACGUUCAUCACGCUCAAUUUUGUCUGAUUCAAUUAAAUCUAGUCCUUCAAAUGACAUUUACACACAAAUUAAUGGUUGUAUCAAGAUUUGACAAUAUUUACAAAAGAUUUGGCUAGAUUUCGAGGAAAUUGAUUAAUCGAACCAAAAGACUAACGACGUACAUUAAUAUUACAAAAAUAUGGGAUUUAAUCAUUAAAACGGAACACACUUACUGAUUAUUGGUGAAGGUAAUGGAUGCUAUUUGAUGAUAACUCUAACAUUGUUAAGAAAAAAAAAGAAAUGGGGAUUGAUUCGAUACGAGAAAGAAAAAUACUCAAUAGUUCAAAGGUUAAAAUAUGAUGCAAGUAUGAGAGAAAAGAAGAGGGAAAGAAAAGAAAUAAAAGAUAAAGAGGAGUUUUACUAAAUUUUUGAAAAGAGGCAAACCUAAUCCAAAUGGAAAAGGAUGGUUAAAUAGCUAGGGUUUGAAACCCUAGGGGCAACAAGGGUAAAUUACCCAAAGCUACCAAAAUUCAAAAGAAAAAUGAGUGGGGAAGGAGGUAGCUUGAAUUUAGGACCUCUAGGAUAAGAGAGUAACACUUAACCAUUAAGCCUAUUGCCCAUUUCUUAUUUAGUCUUAAUUCCUGACCAUAUAUAUUUUGGGUGUGACUUUUCCCUAGGUUGUCGAAAAUAAAAUGGGAGGAAGGGAGCUCGAACUUUUGGGUCUUUAAGGAGGACUCUCUAUCACUUAACCAUUAAGCCUAUUCAAUUCUUAUUUAACCAUUUCGAUUAACCCCCUAUAUUUUGAGGCGUGACAUAAAUAAAAGUAAAUUAUUCUUAUACUUAAUUGAACUUGAAAGCUUGUCUAAAUUUUAGAUUUACCUUAAUUUCAUUUGAAUCAAAUUAAAAAAAUUAAAAUGUAAAAUAAGUAAAGGGUAAAUGUAUUUCAAAAUGAAUGUCAUUCAAAUGGCAAAUAAUCUCAACACUAUAUUUUAACUCUAAAAAUUUUGAUUUGUAACCAACUCAUAAUUCUUUAAAUUUGAAAUAAAUCAAAUAAAAAAAUUUAGUCUAAUGACUUGUAUUUAAAUUGAUCAAACUCAAAAGCAUUUAAAUUUAAAAUAAUUCAAAUAAAAAUGAACUCAAAUCUAAAAUAAAAAAGGUUGAUCGAAGAAAAUUAUGACAACUACGAAUUCAUCUACAUGGAAUUUUACGGCAAUGGUAGCUUCAGCUUGGAAUCUAAUAUUAUUGAAAAACAAACAUAAACAAUCUGUAAGGUUAAAUCCCAAAGCAUUUUGUACAAUUUAAUUUAAUUCUUAAGUCUUGAUAAGCCUUGAAAGAACCAAUUCCAUAUAUAUUGUGCAUUUAAAAAAAACAUGAUAAGUGCUAAAAGUAACAUGUUUUAUUCUCAUUCUUAAUGCGUUUUUGGGUGAUUAUCCGAUGUUAAUUUUGAAUUUUAUACUCCUAAUCCUUUAAAUUCAUGCUUUAUGCUUAAUAGAGCACUUAGGAGCAAAAUGAGCAAAAAACAAUCGAAAGUCGGAGCGUCGGAGCAAGUUGAUGGAGCCACACAGGCUGAACCAUUUCACAUGGCAAGACCACACGGCCAUUUAAUCUACACGGGCAUGUGGUAGGGCAUGUCGAUUUCACAAGAUUGUAUACUGAACAGAAAAAAAUCAUGAAUUUUAGGUUUUUUGGGCAUUCUAAGACGUAUAUAUGACAAAAUUAAGAAGAUAAGAGAGAGCCGUAAGAGAAUACUCAAGAAAACAACUCAUAAAACACCAUUGAAGCCGAUUUUGAAGUAAAUUUCCGUCGAGAUUGAAGAUUCCCAGUUGAUUUCUUAGGAAGUUAUCAUGCGUUUCUUUAUUUCUUUCAAUUAUACCGUAUUUUUUAUUUUUCUCUUAUCGAGUAUGAACUAAUUUUCUAAAUACCUAGAGGAAAUGGACCCUAUGAUGGAUUCUGUCAUUUGAUUUUUUAUUUUACACAAUAAAUACUUAGUUUCUUAUUCUCAAUUAUGUGUGCUUUAUUCUUGGUUUGAUAUUUCUAGAGUAUUAAUCCUUGUUCGAUGUGCUUAAAUAGGUGAUUGAAUAGACACCGUUUAAGAUUAGAUCUUGCGCAAUUGAGUGAAGUAGCAUUCAAUCCUAUAAAUAGGAUGACAUAAAUUUACCGGAUUAGAGUCAAAUCUAAUGGGAAAAUCCAUAGCAUGAGUUAAUGCAAUAAUAGGGGUUUUAAUUAGAAAAAAAUUCAAUUAAUCAACCUAGAGUCAGUUGCUUUUAUACUUGAAAGAGAUAUUAGCAUAAUUUAGGGAUUUCUACGGAUCAAGGUGUUAAGUAAAGAAAUUGUGUAAUUUAGAUUGCUAGUGACAGAUGAAAUCUAGGCAGAUUCUUUCUUAUGUAUUGUUUGAUUUCUUGGUUGUUAUUUGAUUAUUUUUGCGAUUUGUUCUUUGUUGUGUUCAUUAGUUAAUAAAAUUAGUUAAUUUUAGUUUUAAUCAAUCAUUUGAAUUAUUAGAUUAAAUAAUCGAAAGACAGUAAUUACUAAUACUCGUAGUCCUCAUAGGAACAAUAUCUUUGUUCACUGCUAUAUUAUUAAUUGAUAGGUACACUUGCCUUAAUUAAAUUUUUAGCUAGUUUUGUUGACACCAAAAAAUCUUUUUCAUAAUUUUUGAAACUUUUUUAUAAUGUUUGUAAAUUUUUUUCUUUUAAUUUUUUUUCUAUUUUUUUUAAUUUUAUUUUUAAAAAAUAUUAAAAAAAACCAUUCAAAGUUUUUAAAAAUUACUAUAGAUAUUUAUAUAUCCAUAUUGUUCCAUUUUUUUUCUAUAUUUUUAAUGAUUUUCCUUCUCUUUUUGAAUUUUCACUAUAUUUGUAUUUUAUGUUUUUUAGAAAGAAAAGUAUUUUGUUUAAGUUCCGGAAAAGUUUUAAAAUUUGUCUUAUUUUUUAUUUUCUUGAGAUAUUUCCUCUCAUUUUUUUGCCAUUUUUUUUAAUUUUUUGGUUUUUUUUUGCAUUUAUUUAAGAAAAACAUAAAUUUGGGUGACGUAACGUGCCACAUAUUUUUUUUCUAACAACAGUAAGAGUUGAAAUAAAAAUAUCUAAUGUUUGGAAAUUUCAGAUAUCAAACUGAUAAAAGAAUUUCUUUAAACACCAAAGUGAUAAUUGAAUCAUCAAUACCACAUUAACCCUUUAUUAUAUUAAAAUUCUCAUUCUGUUUUCAUAUUUAAUGGCACUGAUUAACGUUACAUUUUAUUAAAAAAAAUUCAACCAACACAAUUUAUUUUGAAUUUAAUAAAAACAAAUUCUUAAAGUAAUAAUUAAAUAAAAUUUAAUCAAUGCCUAUAACCACAGUCAACACGUUUCAUUAUCCCGUCUAAAUAUUGAAGUAAGCAUUAUUGAAGAAAAGCAAAUAAAUAAAGUAGAAGACAAACUGAUACAAUUUCUGAAGUCAUCAAUGGGAAAUUUACUAAGAACUUCUGGGAUACUUAUUUUGACCGGUACCAAUUCAAUGAAAAUUACUAACAAUAUUGGAUAUAACUCCAACUAAAAAAAUGAGAAUAGUAGAGUUCUUACGCUUCAAGUUCAGUCUAUAAAUAGCAUCUUAGUUCUCUAUCAUCUCACUCCUCAAUCACUCUAUCAUCCACUUCUCCUCUUUGAACUCCAAGUCUGAAUUAACAUUAAAAUCAUGGGUGUUUUCAGUUAUGACCAUGAAACUACCUCCCCAGUCGCCCCAGCUAGGCUUUUCAAGGCUUUUACUGUUGAAGCCCCAAAGGUUUGGCCCGCGGCUGCUCCUAAUGCAGUCAAGAGUAUUGAGGUUGAAGCUAAUCCUAGCUCCGGAAGUAUCGUAAAAAUCAACUUUGUUGAAGGUUAGUUCUUUCAUUUUCACUUUCGUUGGCAUUUUUUAAUGUGUUUUACACGAGUAUGUUGGAUAACAAGUAUUUAUUUCUUUAGGCUUUCCAUUCCAAUAUAUGAAGCACCAGAUUGGAAGACAUGAUGAAAAUAAUUUUUCAUACAGUUACAGUUUAAUUGAAGGUGGGCCUUUGGGGGAUAAGCUUGAAAAGAUUAGCUAUGAGAACAAGUUUGAGGCAGCUGCAGGUGGAGGAAGUAUUUGCAAGAGCUCAAUGAAAUUCUACACUGUUGGAGAUAAUGUUAUAACGGAAGAUGAAAUCAAGGCUCGAAUUAAAGGGAGUGAGACAGUUUACAAGCCCCUUGAAGCUUACCUCUUGGCUAAUCCCGAAGCCUGCAACUAGGAUCUAGGUUGCUUUGAAUUCUUAUGCUUGCUUUUAAAGAAGAGUUUGAUUUUAAUGUUGUGCUUUUGAU
rnacentral:lncRNA from 1 species